rnacentral:rRNA from 1 species
CUGCUGCUGGCCACAGAAGAGUUCCAUUCCAUUCCAUUCCUCAUCAACAGGCUAGAGAGAGAGAGAGGGAGAGGGGAUCUGAGGCGUGGGUGAUGGCGGCGGUGAUGGAGUCGGCGGCUAUGGCGGGCGGGGGCGGGGAGGGGGAGGGGGCGGAGGGGGCGGGGAGGGUGAGGAAGCCAUACACCAUCACCAAGUCGCGGGAGAGCUGGACGGACCCGGAGCACGACAAGUUCAUCGAGGCGCUCCUCCUGUUCGAUCGUGAUUGGAGAAAGAUCGAAGCAUUUGUUGGCUCCAAGACAGUGAUACAGAUCAGGAGCCAUGCGCAGAAGUACUUUCUGAAGGUCCAAAAGAAUGGAACAGGUGAGCAUCUGCCACCACCUAGGCCGAAGAGGAAGGCGGCACACCCGUACCCACAUAACAAAGCCUCGAAAAAGGCCCCUGAAGCUGACUUGCCACAACAACCUCCUCAUAUCGUGGAGCAAGGAUGUGCUAUACCUAUGGAUGCACCUACUGUCGCUACAAACUCAAGUGCAAACGACACAUUUCCUUCCUGGGACGAUGUUCUUACCCAGCCUUAUAGCCCAAGACAUACACAAGAUUUAGGCGCUGCAAAUAAUAGCUCUAGUAGCAUAGAGUGCCAAUCUGGAACUUGGGCAACUUCUGAUGCGAUUGAGCAAGAAACUUGGCCAACUUCCGAUGCGAUUGAGCAAGAGAUUAUACUUCCAGCACUGCAUGCCAUGCCAGACUUUGCUCAAGUAUACAACUUUCUUGGGGGCGUAUUUGAUCCAGAUACAACAGGACAUUUGCAGAAGUUGAGAGAGAUGGAUCCUAUAGAUGCUGAAACGGUACUACAACUGAUGAAAAAUCUAUCGGUAAACCUGUCUGGCCCGGACUUUGAGACACACCUGAGCAUACAGCAUCCCUGACUGUUGCAGAGGAGGAUGCUCUCGUCGCACGGUGGCGGCAUGUGCUAAGCCAAGCACAAGAUCGUAGGAAAUCCGGGGUCUACUCAGACCCUUCGCAUUCCAUUCAUGUAAUCUCUAGUCACCCUCUUCCUGAGCACGGAUCCAUGCUUGCGGCAUUGCUAAUUUCGCUAAGCGCAUGGACCGCUCUGCAGGGUAAGGAGCAAAUGAGGGGAGAGGACAGUACAUUGUUGUCAGAGGUGCGACAUGUUGCAGUAUCGCUUGUUGUCAGAGGUGCAACAUGUUUCUGCAUCACCACGUGCCUAUGUUUGUACAUAGUUCUUGGAGAUCUUUUCGGGCUUUUAGAUGUUGGAACUUUUAUCUAUCUGUUGAUGAGGCUUUGUGGCAUGUAUAGUCAGGGCAUGGUUGCGCAUGUUGUUUUGGAGAGGGGAGAGGGGAAAGUGUUUAUUGCCCACGAAGGAAGACCGUUUCUGUGUGUAAUUCUUUGUUUUGAGCUGAUUUUGUUUGUAAGUCCAUUAUCUUCAUCGUCAUAUGAGGACGGAUUUGGACUAUGUAUGCAGUGAACUCUUUUCGUCUCGUCUACUAUCAUUGAUCAUGUUUUUUCCGAACGAAAAAUGAUAAUCAAGUCGUCA